AGAUUCUAAGAAAAAAUGAGGAUAGUAUGCAGCUCACACUGCAGUCCAAGGGAGCAGAGUUGAAGAAUGCACGAAUUUGCAGCGAACACUCCGCUUAAGGUCUUUUACACACCAAUACUGUCAGGGACUUGAUAGAGGAAGGACACAAACGCUGAGUUGGCAGACAAGAACAGUGGUCGGUAAUCAUGCCUUGGAACUUCAUCACACAGCUACAAGAAAGAAGGAGAAGCCUGCAGCCUUUUUGCAGUAUUUGUUUGUUCUGUCCAUUCAAUAAUGCACAACUUCCCACAGUUUAAUAGGUUACUCCAACUGGGAGUGUCUGGAUUCCCUCCAACUCAUGUAUCCUAUUUAUUAUCAACACUGGGAUGUCUCCAUUGUCCUUUAGCUGAGGUAACUGCACGUAAAAAAAAAAAAAAAAAAGAUUUACACGUGCUGGGCCCAUGAGUGUGUGUUUAUGCAGAUAAAGACAAGAAAAAACUAUUCAUAGGAGAAAGUUAUUGUACUUAUUGUACUCUGU